UACGUAGGGGGCAAGCGUUGUCCGGAAUCAUUGGGCGUAAAGCGCGCGUAGGCGGCCAGAUAAGCUCCGGUGUGAAAGUCACAGGCUCAACCUGUGAAUGCCGCUGGAAACUGUCUGGCUUGAGUCCGGAAGGGGCGAGUGGAAUUCCUGGUGUAGCGGUGAAAUGCGCAGAUAUCAGGAGGAACACCAAUGGCGAAGGCAGCUCGCUGGAACGGUACUGACGCUGAGGCACGAAAGCGUGGGGAGCAAACAGG
rnacentral:rRNA from 1 species